rnacentral:rRNA from 1 species
AUUGAACGCUGGCGGCAGGCCUAACACAUGCAAGUCGAGCGAGCGGCGGACGGGUGAGUAAUGUCUGGGAAACUGCCUGAUGGAGGGGGAUAACUACUGGAAAAGGUAGCUAAUAACGCACAACAUCAGAUGUGCCCAGAUGGGAUUAGCUAGUAGGUGGGGUAACGGCUCACCUGGGCGACGAUCCCUAGCCGGGCUGAGAGGAUGAUCAGCCACACUGGAACUGAGACACGGCCCAGACUCCUACGGGAGGCAGCAGUGGGGAAUAUUGCGCAAUGGGCGAAAGCCUGAUGCAGCCAUGCCGCGUGUGUGAAGAAGGCCUUCGGGUUGUAAAGCACUUUCAGCGGGGAGGCGUUACCCACAGAAGAAGCACCGGCUAACUCCGUGCCAGCAGCCGCGGUAAUUC